rnacentral:lncRNA from 1 species
CAUUUUUAUUGCAUAUUAGUAUGUGCUAGGCACAGUGAUUAGUACUAUGAAUAUAAUGGUGAGCAAAAAUGAGCAUGGUCCCAUCUUCAUGAAGCAUAUAGUCUGGUGGCAAAGAUAGGCAUCAAACAGAUAAACAUAUAAAUACAUGUAACAUUAAUGCUUUAAUAUGUUUUAUGAUGAAGAAGUAUGUGGUGCUGUGAGGGAAUUUAACAGAAGAGAGAUCCCUGGAUUUGUAAUUCAGUCUUUCCUGUAGUUGGAUGGAACUUGGAAUAGCCAAGGAGUUGAAAGAAGACCAGUGCAGUUGGAAUUCAGAGAACAGUAGGAGCAUGACGUGAAUAGAGGAUGUAGGAUGGGUAGGAGCUGCAGGGCGCAGGAUAUCUUAUGGAGGAUAAGGAUUUGAUCUUUCUCCAAAGAGCACUGAGAAACCAUUAAAUGACUUGGAUGGGGCACAGAGAAGAUGUGGUGGGAGCAGUUAUCAUAUUAAUCCUUUGAAAAUAUAUAUAUUUUUUGACUGCAGGAUAAUAGGCUGGAAGAUGGCAAGAACAGGUGCAGGGAGAUCUGUUAAGUGCUUGUUGAAGUAGCCUACGCAGGACACAAUGGUGGUUUGACUUUGUGAUAUGGGAAUAGGGAAGAAGAGAAAUGGAUAUAUUUGAGAGGUAUUUAGAGGUUAAGUGGACUGGAUUCGGUAAUGCAUAAAAUCUGGAGAGGGAGGGAGAGGAAAGCACCAAGAAUGACUCCAGGUCUCUUAAAUUGCACUACUGAAUUGACGGCAGUGCCAUUCAUUGGGAUAGACAUUGGAAGGGGAGUGGCUCUAAUGCAGGGAGAGAAUGCUUGGGCUUAGACUGCAAGGUAAAUUUGAGGCAUCUGUAAGUAGAAAUGGAGAUACAGUACAGGACCGGAACUCAGAAGAUGGUGUUAGCUGGAGAUAUAAAUUUGGGAUUUAUGAAUGACUGGCUAUUGAAGCCAUAAACAUGGACAAGAUGGACAGAAAGUACAGAGAGAGAAGAUAAGAGGGCCCAGUGUGGAGUCUUUGGUAUUAUAAGUCUUGAUGGCCUAAACUGAGAGGAUGAGUAGGUGAAGGACACAGAGAAGGCGCAGCCAGAGAGUAGAAACCAUGAGGUGUGAUGUGAUGGUGACCAAGGGAAAAAGAUUGUGUUGAAGAAGAAAGCAGUGGUCUUCUAAGUCAAAUCCUGCUUAGAGAUUCUGUAAGGUGAGGACUAGAAAAGAUACAUUGGACUUAAUGGUGUGAAGAUCAUUGAAGAGGCUUAGCUACAUCAGUGGAUAGCUGUGAGGGGAAGUCUAUUGGGAGUGAGAUGAAGAAUGAACAGGAGGAAAGCAAAUGGAACUAAAGUGGUACUUAUGGUCUUCCUUUGUGCAUCUGCUCAUGAAAUGUGCCCCAGGCUGGGUGCAAGAACAGGUCCCAGAAAAACCUGUGAUUUGCAGUAUGACCACUGCUAAAUCACCUAACCCUUCCCUGCCUCAGUUUCCUUAAUCAAUUCUAUGGACUAUAACCCGGGCUCAUGAGGGAUAGAAGAGCUUUGGAAAUCCAAGCUUAAAUUAUUCCUUAAAUUCACUAAGCGCCAAAUGGCAAUUAUUUUAAAAACUAUUUUCCUGUUAAAGAUGUGUCCUCCCUCACACCUCAAGAAGAUUUUUGGUUUAUUUUUGUUUGUAUUAGAAGGGAUAUUCCCCUUUUCCAAAUCUGGUCAACAAUAGAAAGUCCUUAUCUAUGUUCUCUUGUGAUCUUGGUUUAGGAGAUAAUAUCAAAUCUCCCAUGUAUGUAUUGGCUAGUAACGUAUUUAUUUACCCUUAAGACCUAUAUUGUUUUUAUAAUCCUAAGGCUGAUGUGAAAGAGGAGAAAAACCUGUUUUUUGUUUGUUUUCUAAAUGAUCACUAGGUACACUAGAGAGGAUUAUCCUUCAACAAAUAUGCCACAGAGUUGAAGGAGGUGAUCAGGAAUCCCUUAGAGUCUUAGAAGCUCUCACAAUGUGACUGAUUCCAUAUGUUUAAUGGUAAAUAUGAUAAGCCCUUUAGAUUUCUCUGUUAACUUAAUUUCCCAGACUGCCACAAUGGUGAGUAAUUGAAUAUUAACAGAUGAAAAUGGAAGCUGUGGACACAUGUCAGUUGUCUCAUACCAAUGGCUCCCUAACGUGAAAAGCCCUGCUGAUACCCAAAACCUUACUAUGGCCUUUCUUGAAGGAGCAGGUCUGUUGGAAAAUAAAGUUAUCGUUGGCUAGAUAAUUGCUAUUUGUUUUUUGUUCUCUUGAAGAUAUUUAUAGGGCCCAAAUCAGUGGUAUGGUAGACUGAGAGUCCUGUGAGAAGUACAGUCAGGGGAUAUGAGUGAAGAUUUGUUGUCUUAGAGCAAUGGCUGGAGAUUGGGCCAGGCCUGGACCCUUAAAAUCUGCUCUAUCCUCCGUAUUCUUUUUUUGCUGUUUAUGUGUUUGGGAGUAAAGGACUCCAGGGUCUUAAGAUAUAACAGAGUGAUAAGAUGGAAUCAGCCUGGAUCCCUGAGUCAACACUUGGUGGUGAGCCUCCAGGAGGAACUUUCCCAUUAGACUGCUGCCUGAGCAAGAAAUAGACCUUUGUGGUGUCAAGCCAUGAAAAUUUUUGAGUUGUUUGACAUAGCAGUUGGUUUACCCUGAGUAACACAUCACAGAUCUAUAAUGCAAUGUGAGCUGUGCUAUAAGCGAAGCUUAUAUAAAGUGUUAUAAGAAGAGACAAAGGCCUGAGAAGGAUAGAAAGAUGAGAUGAUAUUUAAGCUUGAUAAACAGAGAAGAGUUUGCCAAAUGAGACAGGUGUGGAGACAAUUUAAACAAGUGGUCUAGUGUGGGCAAAGCCCAUGGUGCAUGGAAAUAUAUUCUGAGUAAGAGUGAGUGACAAAGUUCCUUUAUGGGACCUUUGUAGGGGGCAAUUGGAGAAGAUGCUGAGGCCAGAGCAAGCACUGAGGGCUAUAUCUCUUCAGUUUUAUCCAGAAGACAGUAAGGAACUGUCAGUAUUUCCAAGAGAAAAGCAUAUGUUAGAAGGAUCCUCUGGCAUCUGUGUGGGGUAUGGAUGAAGAAGGUUGCACGUGGAGGCUGGAAGUACAUUUAGAAAGUUGUUUCAGACCUGUGAUCCCAGCACUUUGGGAGGCCGAGGUGGGCAGAUCACUUGAGGUGAGGAGUUUGAGGCCAGCCUGGCCAAUAUGGUGAAACCCUGCCUCUACUAAAAAUACAACAGUUAAUUGGCUGUGGUGGCAGGUGCCUGUAAUCCCAGCUACUUGGGAGGCUGAGGCAGGAGAGUCGCUUGAAUCCAGGGGGUGGAGGUUGCAGUGAGCUGAGAUCACACCACUGCACUCUAGCCUGGGCGACAGAGUGAGAGAGAAAAACAAAAGAAAGUUGCUUCAGAAAUCUAGCAGGAACUUACAAGAAAAUAUACAUGCAGCACACAAAACACAGGGCCGAACACUAAGAAAUAUUAGGGCCAUUUUGUUUCUUUUCCCUGAAUGAGGGAAAUGACUGUGGGAAUAAAGAGAAAGUGAGUGGAUAAAAGAGGCUUUUGGAAGCUAUAAAUCCUUGAUGAACAAGUAUUGAAUAAAUGAUGCAGUAUCUUUUGGGGAUGCUGAGUGGUCUGACUGUUAAGCACCCCAUGGUGGGGAUGAGGGUUACUAAAUAACUGUGUCCCAUGUCCUCUCCUCUCACUAGAAGCUCUUAAAAAUCCAGACAUCCAACAAGAGACCAAUAGGAUACACUGAUGUUUUAUGAAUGGGGCCAGGACCAGCCUGAGUGUGGAGCCUCGUGGGCUGAGUUUCCCCGGGAUUCAGAGCCCUGAGGUUGAGUUUUCUACUGGUCAGCUGGAUCAGUUCAGCUGCUAUAAAGAGACAGUGCCCGGCCACCCAUACAGCAUUCCAUUGUGGCAGACAAUGGACUGGUGAAAUGCAACGUAGACAGUCUGAGGACCCUGUGCAAUGGAAACUCCAAUUGAAAUUGUACAUAGUCACUAACAUUCUACCUAUUCAAGGGGGCUGAAGACAGAGUCUAAGAAAAAGCUCUGAAGCCAGAGCACUGUUGCAGCCUCGGCCUCAUUUUCCAACAGAAGUCUUUCAUAUAAUCAGAGGGCUAGAAAAGAAACAGAAAUACAUAUGCCGGCUGCUACAUUUUACAGAAGAGGAAAUGGAGGCACCCAGAGAUAAAGCCACUUAUACAAAAUCAUGACUCUUUAGAUGGAUGAGGGUGGCCUGUUUAUUGACUUCACCUGAGCUUCCAAUGGCUAGCUUGGCAUUAUUCUAGAAACCUGGCUUCACUAAAAUAAAUAAUAAUGAAAAGAGUUUUUCGGCAAUUCAGCAAUCUUCUCAAAUCGACUGUAGAAUUUAGAGCUGAAAUUGAAAAGACACAUUUGGUCGGACCUUCCCCACCUUCAUUUUACAGAUGGGGAAACUGAGACUCUGCGAGAUCAAAAGGACUAACGCAAGUGAUCCUAAAAUCUAGUGGCAGACAUGAGGCUAAUGAAGACUCUGUUCCUGAUCUGCUGCUGCCUGAAACAGCUGCUUACAACAGCUCCUUCCUCGGGCCUGGAAACCAGAUGUGAGGACAUUUGGGAAAUGAUAAUCCACUUGAAAAGCUGACCAGUGGCCAGGCCUUCUUUGCAUGUUUCUGAAGAGCCCAGAUAGUCAUUGCCUUCCUCAAGGACAGACAACAUAGUCUGCCUAGCCCACCGAGCUGCCAGGAGAAGCCAAGUGUCAGAGGCUUUAGUCCCUGGCGUGGCUCCUCCACUCCAGAGAGGAGCUGAAGGCAAUUCUCUCGGUGCCCCGUAGCAGCAGAGAAAUCUUUCUCCAGCCCUCGUGUACAUCCUUGGGACAGAAACACACAGCCAUUCUCCCUGCUCACAGCCAGGCCCCGUCAGCAUAGAGAAGCACUUAGGGUUCCUUUGUGGGGUGCAAAUCCAAACAUGCAGUGAUUUAAUUUUUCUAACAACAGCAUUUCUAGUCUUCCCACAGCACUAAUCAGUUGCCACUAGAGCAUCUCUUGCUUCCAAACAUUUCCCUUUUUUUUUGCUUCUGGGAAAGCCCACAGUUCAGGACCCUUAUCCACUUGGAUGGCAAUUCCAUUCUUUGGCUUCUCUGGGGUAGAUCAGACUUAAAAAAAAAACGAAAGCAAAAAAAUCAAGCUUCCUUACCUAUACCUAUCUCUUCACAAAUUCCUGUAUCAUGUUUGAUUUAUUUAUCAGCCAUGAGUGGAUCCCACACUGCAGGACCCUAGGCAGUAAUGGAUCACCAGAGGGAAGAGAUACCCUUUGCAGGCCACUCCUGACUUUUCUCUGCAGCUAGUGGCCUUGGGUCAGAGUCAUUUUCCUCUCAGCAGGGCAGGUAUCUCACUUGUAAAAGCUGAAGAAUAGAAAUGUUGGGGCCAUAGUGAUAGUCAUCAGUUGGUCUACUGUGCAGUUUCAGGGUGAGGGUGGCAGCCACAUUAACUACGAAGUCAGUGGCCUCUGGAACUGUGUAAUACACACCUGCACACCCAUGCAAAAUGGCCCACUUGGUACCAGAACUCUAAAUGCGAAGUUUUCCCAAGAGUUUGCACUGUGGCCAAGGAAACCCAGGAUCCUGACUGGCCUGGCUUUUGGAAUAAUCGUCAAGAACCAGGGCUAUGGGUCAGAGACUUUGAGUUUGAAUUGCAGCUCUGCCACUUCCCAGCAGUGAGGCCGUGAACAAGUUAAAUUUAGUAAGUGCUCAAUAAAUCUUUGCUAAUUCAUCAUUAUUAUUCCUACUGCUACAGUGAUCCUGUCUUAACCAGAGGCUGGCCCACCUGUGUGGCUCUGGUUCUCCCUCUGGCUGAAUUGCACACUUCUGCACUUGGUCUUAGCCAAGAGGCCAAGAAGCAACUACCAUUGCACACUUCUGGCCCUGAGGUGCAUCUCUAGGUUUUAGGGCCCUUUCCAACUCACCUUGUCCUUGGUUAUCUGACACAGGAAAUCUGAAUUCCUCCUCCUAAGCCUCAUCACCCACCUUUUCCAUAGCUGCCUAAUGUCUUUUCAUGGAAAAGUGUUUUGGCAGCAAUUUGAAUGAUGAACUAGCCAUUGAGUAUUCACGAAUAAAUGAAGCAAAUCCAAAAUAUCUUGCAAUGAACACAUUCAUUGCAGCAAUUGACCAAGCUGUCUGAGUCUUAAAAUGAAUCCAAGGUCUCCUGGAGAUAUUUUUUGCUUGUCUUUUGGUGAGAUUUGCAGACAGAGCCUACUCCAAAUAUUUCUGAGUCUGUUGUUUAGUGCUAUUUUGAGUGCUUUCACAUGUGGAAUUUAUUCCUAUACUUAGCUCUUACCCAGCACCCUGGGGUACUUGAAAAUGUUUUCAAUUGACCAACUGUAGUGUAUUAACAAAACCUUGCAUGUGCUUUGCAAAGCACUUAAAUCCAGCUGACUUCCUAUCUCAGCCUCCUUUUCCGGCAUAAUCUCCAGCCCAAGCUGUGCUGACCACACCUUUUGCAAAACUUUGACCAAAGAAUGUGCCCAGCUGAGGAUUGCCAGAUCCCACAGACAGCAUCAGGUCCCUAUUAUUGAGUGAGCCACAGAAAUAAAAUGCCAUUGAUGCCAGAAAGUGGGCUCUCAGAAAAAUUUCAAUUGGAGAAAUACAACAGAAACAUACACAAUUAGGAGCAUUGCCCAGUGUCUGGGCAAUGUAGAAUUUUUUACCCAAAGCUCUGUCCUUCUGUGUAGAUAAAGGAUAUCGCUUGUCAAACAACACAGUGGCAAUGUUCUGACUUUCUUAUGCUUAAGCAUGAACAAAAAACCUGGAGCUCAUACCUCCACUCACCUUUCUUUUCUAAUUGAUCAAACUAAGCAUUCUGACUCAGCGUUGUCCCGUGUCUAGGAAAAGAGAAACAGUUACCCACCCGGGAAACAGCGAAAGAGUGGUGCCUUGUAGUAAGGCUCUUUAUAUAACAAGAACGCAAUCUGAAACUCCUAAGCCCUAGAAGAUUUAGCCCAAAUUAAGGACCUUGUUAGCAGCUGAUUCCCAAGCCCUUCCUCUCCUUUCAUUUCUUUUGUCGACUUGCAGCAAGCCACACAAAAGGAAUCUCUUUCUUCUUCUGCCCACAGAUUCCUUUCUCAAAAGCCAUUCUAAGAAAUAAUCCAAUUCUGUCUCAAAUAUAAGGGCUUUCAUUCUCAGUCCAUUAUACUGUUUAUCUUGGGAAUUUCUUUCCAGUUUUAGGUUUUUGUUUUUUUUUUUCUACCCAAAGUUAAGCACAUGGCUUGCACUGUGAGGAAGAUUGUACUAGUGGUAGGAAAUAGACCACCAUCUUGGUAUUGUGAUCAAGCCACAUGGGUUCUGGGCCCCGCGCUUUGUAAGCAUACUUGGCAGAGGAAAAUAUAUUUGUACUAAGAGGCAAAUUAUCCACAGUCAAAAUGACUAAUCAUUGUUUAACUUAAAUGUGAAAGAUAAUGGAGAGAGGAAUGUAGCAUUUGUAAGGAACUGAAAGACUGAAUAAUGUAUUAGCAGGUGAGGUGUGGGCCUGUGAGUAUGGACAUAUACCCAUGGUAUGUUUGUGUGUGGGGUUUAUGUAAAACAUAGAAAGACAUAUCUACUUCUGCAAAAAUAAAUCAAGAAAAUAUGCUAUCUACUGCUACACUAGCAUCACUACAGCACCACUAUUAGCUGCUUUAACAAACAACCCAGGCAAGCUCAGUUUUUCUUAAUUCCUUUAAAAAUGUUUUAUAUAUUUGAAAUAUCAUAUAAUGGUAUUUUGCUGACAAAUCAUAGAAUCAAAUGGCAAAAUUUUUAAACACAGAUAAAAAAUUAAAACCAUGGUGCAACACAUAACACUAUAAAAUCUCUACUUCUGACUACUUCACAAUUUAAAGUGGUGGUUUGUUAUGCGAAUAAAACCUAUUUUGAAUUUGCCCUAUGAAAAAUGACACAGAGAUCAAUAGUAAACUUUUUGGUGCUUCAAAUGGGCUCAAAUACAUCUUGUUAGAAUGGAGAAUAUCUUAGCAUGGCUGAUAACACAAAGGCAAAUGAUCCAGUAGUGUAGAGAAGGAAAAUUGAAAGAGAUUUUAAAUUUGCUCAUUCUGGUCUAGGGGAGGAAUAUUUGCCUGCUAAUUUGCUCAAGGGCUGACAUUCAUGGAGCAAAUUUUUCAUCUUCGUGUUUCCAUCUUAGGGAAUUAUUCUGGAGACUUCAUAUGCCUC